ensembl:lncRNA
UCACAUCUUGUAGCUUUGACCCCAGGAUUUCUCAGAGCAGUGAUGUGCCUCUCUUCCUGCCUUACUUGGGCUAUUUAGCAAGCAGUUGCUCAGCACUGACCUUGUAAAACUUACCAUGUGCUUUUUUAUUUUUAUUUCUAGUGUUCUAAUUCGCGUGUUUAGAGGCUUAGGAGAUGGAUGGCUUUAGGGCAGGAGAUACAUGCUGAGGGCUAGCUGAGCAGCUCCCUGAUUUUGAGAGGGUUGGUGACCACUUGUGUGAAGAGCUGGCUGGAGCUGGACACAGAACUAAUUGUGCUUUGGAAGCACAUUUUUUCCCCCUGUUUCUGGACUGAGGACACUGCUAUUUCUCAUGUCUGCUCGGUCAGUCUGCGUGUCUUAUGUGAGCUGCGGUCUGCUGGUGGAAAGUCAAGGGGAAAGCUGUCCUCAUCAGUCAUAAGCCCUGCUAAAUCCUGGGCAGAAAUCCUUUUCCCCCUCUGAGAACAGUGCACCCCUCAGGCACCGGCAGGCCUGGUGUGGUGUGGGCCGUCCCCUGAUGGAGAAAGCACAGUGCUGGGUGCCUCACAGCCACAUCUUGGUCAGCGGGUUCUGCCUGUUCCUUCAGCGUUGUUCCUGCUGCUGAAGGACAGAGGAAAAUACUGCCUGUGCCUCUGCCCAACCGCCCCAAGGCCCUGAUGUUCCUUUGAUUGCUCUUAGAAUGUUUUGCUAUUUCUUCAUCAUGACGGAGGCCGUGCUGGGAGCUCCUCACUGCCCUCCGUCCCCCCUCGGCCUUCCGUGCCCAGCGCCGAGCAAAGGCCGUGCCCGCAGCCUGCCCUGGGCUGCCGUGUGCCCGGGCCCCUCAAUAGCGCUGAGGCCUGGGCUGGGCCCUCACCCCGCGGGGCAGAGCCGUUCCCACUGGGGAGAGCCGGAGGGGACACGGCAGUCCCCGGGCAGACCCUCAGGUACCCAAAUGGAGAGGCACGGACUGGUUUUGCUUUUUUAAGAAAUUGCUUAGGUUUUUAUUGUUAUUAUUUUGUGUUGUCCUUUUAAAUUGGUUAUGGUCUGAUGCUGAAACAAAAGUCCCAGUGGAGCCACGGGAAUGGACCUUCAUGCUGCACUUCAGCCCUUCUUCCCAUCCAAACCAAAGUCCAGUAAAGAUCUGGAAGUUAUACGAAGUAAAUCUGUGGAUGAUGCUAAACUGGGAGGCAUGUUGCCUCCCUUGAUGGUAGAGAGGCCUCGCACCAAAGUCUUGAGAGAUUUGAGAGUGGUCUCUGUCUGCAUGAAGCAGAGAAGUGCUGGGUUGUGCAGCUGGGAUGGGGCAGCCCUGGCUCUGUGUACAGACGGGAAUGAGGGGCUGGAGAGCAGCCCCAUGGAAGGGGACCUGGGGGUUCUGGCUGGCAGCAAGCUGUCUGUGAGUCACAGUGUGCCCUGGCAGCCAGAAGGGCCAGCCGUCCCCUGGGGUGCAUCAGGAUCAGUGCUGCCAGCUUGCAAGUACACAACACAUGAUGUUUGAUUCCUGGCAUCUCUAAAUAUAUGUAUAUUUCUUCUAGGGGAGGCUGUUUUGUUGUUUAUAGUGAUUUCUGUCUGUAAAUUCUUUACUUGUGCGCUAAACAAGGUGUGGGGCAGCAUCUUGCUGUGGACAGGAUUCUCCAGUGCCAGUUGUGGAGUUGGUCGCUCCAGCAGCCAGUCCUCAGAUGCGAAGUCCAGCCCCAUCACUCUAUGUUUUACCAUCCUGCACUUACAAAGCUGUCAUAGAUGGUGGCAGCGGGUACCUGGCAGGAGUGGUGCCAUAUGAACGGCUGGGGGUGAUGUAGGGAAGUGCCUCUGUCCAGGAGAGCAUCAGGAUAACAACUGCAACAUUGAGUUAGUUUGCUGCGCUGCAAGCAUAAAGGCUGUUAUCUGCAAGUGUGCACCAGGUGAUGAGUGCCAGAAUUGGUAUCAGAUCUGCCCAAAUACUCUAGAUAAGGGGUGGGAGGUAGGGAAAAGUAAUAAUUUUAGAUUCAGUUCUGAUGAUGUGUCAUCUAUUCUCAGCACUAGUGUAAAUGAGGGUUUGAAUUAAGCCAAAAACCUGAUGUCUGAAAGUGCUGUUUCUCGGGCCGAAGCAGAAAUGCACAAAAUCGAUGUUUUCUCUAACUGUUGCUAAGUUUUCUUUACGGGUUAAUUUCAGCCCAGUGAUCCCUUACAGCCACAACCUGCAGAGCCCUCCUGCCUCAGGAUCCUGCCCUGCAGCUCCUGGCUGGUUCCAGCAGGUGCUGUUCCCAGCCCCGAUGGGUGCUGGGUGUGCACCACCAUGCCCUUCUCCUCCCUUCCCUGCCUUGUGCCAGGGCUGCUGCUGAGUUUAACUUCUGCAUUUGUCUUUCUCUGAUCUAAGGUCAUUUUCUGACUCUUUCGUUGUCCCCAGACGGCCAACUGCACAUCUCAGUGACAAGCUCUGCUGGUUGUGUCCUGCCUGUAUGACAGGUCUGGGGCAGACGUGAAGCACCAAACACAGUGUCCCAAAGGAGAGGGCGAAUAUCCUCUCCCAUCAAAAAGGAGAGUGACCUGAUUUCACACUUGCUUUGGGCAAUGAGGGACCUCCCAGGGAUUUUGUUCGCAGAAUGGAAUGAGCUGCAAAAGGGAUAAAGAUCAUUCACGGGAACCUUGAAAGAACUGCUUGAGCUCCAUGAAAUGAAGAUUAAAAAUAAAACAGGGAUGUGAGGCACAGGCUCCAGCACGAACACCUUAUAAACACUUGGCCUUAGAAGUGCGAGUGCUUCCUAGCGAGCCUGAGAUGUGCAGAAGUGCAGCCUGGGAGCGAGUCAGGGAUGCUGCUUCCAUUGCUUCCUCCCCAUGAAGGGAACAGCAGAGGUGGGCUCUGCCAUGAGUUACUUCAAAGUUGGGUAAUGCAACAGAAGGAUGUUGCUAGAAAUACGCAUGCCUUACAGUUUCAGUGUAGGUGUAAAAUGAAGGGUAAUGCUGAUGGCUGCCAUGUGUGAAUAAGACUUCAGCAGUGGCUGGGUUUUGUGUUGGAUUUUGCCUGGCAUUGCUGGUAUUUUGAGGUGUGCUGGUUGCAUCUGGCUUGCUUGUGGAUCUGAGCUGUUCUAGGCGUCACUGAUAAGGAGUCAAGUAAGUCUCUCCUUUCUGCAUCCCCAUCUUUGCAAAAGACAGUUCAGCUAAGGGCUGACACAGAGCUUCUGAGAGCUUGGGGAAAGUGAUUGGAAAAUGCUAUCGUUUAAAUCCUGAAUUGCUCUGUUAGGAAAAGUGCCCCUGGCAUUGCACAUCAACCCAUGGUGUCACGGAGUGUGUUAAUGUUCUGUGUCACCCAAACCGUGAGUAAUAGGAAUCAAAUGCAAUGUCAGCCUGUCUGAGCUCACGGGCAGCCUCAGACCACAGGUCACAACAAAAUGGUCCUGUGCUUUUGGCAUGGUCAGGGAGGUGUGAUGGAGCCUGGGGGUCUGCCCAGACUGGGCAGGUGGGGCACCCUUCCAGAUGGGCUUUGCUAGGACAUUGGCCUGCUUCUGGCGGGGUUGCAUGCCCUGCUACCCACAGGGCUUCUCUAUUGGCUUUAGCCAAGGUAGAGAGAGGGAUUGCUCUGUCUUUGUCUCAGAAAAAAAGGGAAACUGUUUCCUGGGAAGUAACAGCUGAGUGCCAUCAACUGUGCAACACCUGGACAGACUUCAGGAGGAGGUGUGAGUGAGUACACCCUGUUUAGUGCCAGAUCUCAGCGGUAGGACUGAGGUUAAAGGAUGGUCUGUUCGGUCUUCCACCGAUAUCUUCCUCUGCUCUUCUGGUAAAAUAUGGAACUGGAAGAUUGUGAAAUCUCUGCUGUGGUCGCUGAGGCGCUUUUCUGUCAUGUAGAGCUUGUUUUUGUCCGCACACUUUGGAAUAAUCCUAAGUUUCUUCUCUAAUUGUAUUUAUUGCACACUUCCUAUUUUGAUGUGCUGUCCCAUGCUGCAAAUGUGACUGCAGCCGUGCUUCAAACCAGUGGCCAAUUCCUGGAGCUGCUGAUGGGUGUGGAGUGGAAUCCUCUGUCAGUCCUUUGCCAGGCUCCUCCAGCCCCUGGUGGCAUCAUAGCAAGUCAUACAGAAGUUAAUAGCACAAGCAUCUUGUGUGUUUUGGUAGCAGUGAGCCAGUUAAUAGUGGUGGGUCAACAGUUUUUAGGCUUUUAGGAUUAGCUCGAGGUUUAGAAGAGGAUCACAAGUGUCUGAGCUGCAGUCCACAGAUGUAGACAGAGAGGCUACCAUAUGAUACGUGAUCUAAUUUCUCAAGGAUUUUUUAUGGUUCUUUCUUGGGUCUGAAGGUUACAGACUUAAUCCUCAAUCCAUACCCAACUUAUGCAAUCCCUUGUUCAGGCCAAAAUGAAGACUUUUGCUUUAUCAGGUAAAUGAAUUCCUUUGGGUAGCAUGACCCAGCCCUCUAAACUUCAUGUUAUUUUAUGGAUUGCCUCCUUGAUGCAUGAUGAGAUGUUGGUGGCACCUCCUGUCCCAGAAGAGCUGCUGAGAUUUGGGGACCAGAGGAGCUCCAGAUGGGAGCAGGAGGCUGCAGUUCAGGAAAUCCUGAAGUCCUGGUAAUUGCUGUGGAACAGAUCCUGGCUUGGACAGAGUGUGGAUUCUUCUGUGGUGUAAAUCUCUUUUGAUUUAUUUGACACUUUGGUUUCAAAACUCCCCUUUUUGGUGUCAGAUGCUUGCUAAAGGCUUUUGCUUCUACAGAUGUGACUCAUUGCAUGCAGAAAGAAAACUGCACCAUGCUCCCUCCUUUCUCAAGGUGGCUCUCUGCCUUGCUGUCUUGCACAGCUCCUUCCAGAAGACCAGGUGAGCAGGGGGGUAGGAAACAUGCUGGUUUGUGAGAGGCAGCUGUAAUGCUGUGGUGGGUGUUGGUCCAUCCUGAGCUCUGGCUUCUGCUACAGCUGUUCCUAAAAGCUGUUCUGCAGUGAUCCCAUUUUUGAGGAUCAAAGGAGGCAAUGGUCUUCUAAGUCUUUUAUUCCAUACAGAUUUUGGGAUAUGAUUGUACAGCUCCAAAUAAUGCAGAGCUCCCUGGAGAUGGCACUCUCAGCUGAUGUUCCAGCGUGGGCUCCUGGCCCUGUAGCAAGCGCAGAGGAGAUGUCUGAAAUAUCUGUCAUACUAAAGGCUGUUUCCCUCUUUUCCUCUGAAUAAAGCCAGCCCCAGCAGCAGGAUAGUCCUUCAGGCACCCCCAGAAGGGACCGUGCACCCAUCCCACACUGAGGCUCUCCCUGAAGGAGGACAACCCUGCAGCAGCCAGUGAUGCCAUAGCACCCCAUGGAGGCUGUCAUGCUGGGUGAUGUGCUGGAUACCAAUAGCGUAAUCAAUGCGUAAGCUGCUAAUUAAAAUUAGUAUGUUGCAGUGAAAAGGCACUUGUGCAGCAGACCUUGAAAUGCACUGUUUGCAUAGUUGGUGGGAGACAGCUAAUGCUUCUGCAGCAACUUGGUGCUUCGUGUAUGAAAUCCUAUGGACCUUCCUGUUGCAGGCACUGGAGGUCCUUGUGCAGCCCUGGAGGAAUUACAGGUCCUAUCUCGUCCCAGGAUUUCCAGCCAUCACAGCAGAGCUGGGAGUAAGGUCUGGGUUCAGUUUGUACUGAAAUAGUGCCUAAAGGUUCUGGCUGUGAUGCUUGCUCGCUCCUACCUGCAUGCAGGAAGUGAGGGAGGCUCUGCUUUAAUUGUUGUUUGCUGAAGUACUUUGAGACCAUUGGAGGAAAAAUGUGGUUGUAGGUGAUGCAUGUAUAGAGCCAGGUGCCAACUCACUCUUCUCCUUGGCCAUGUGUGAAGCUGAGCAGGUUCAGCAUUUUUGCCACCCUUGCUGGGCCGGGACUGUCCUGCAGUCUGUGGCUGUUGCUUUGCCUCCAAGUGUAUAAAUGCCAAUCACUUUCUUCCAGUUUUCUGCCUUUGGACCAGCUCUGUGUGCCUCCUUCCCCAGGCCUGGAUCUCAUGGUGGUGCUCAUGCUACAGAAGAUGCUGUGCAGGGAUGAUGAUGGCAACAGGAGCCUGAGAUGUGAAAGCUGCUGAAGCUCCAUGUGAGUUUUGGGGUAGGGUUGGCCUGAGGUCAACCAAGCGCCCAAUGUUCAGCUGUUUGAGUUUUUCCUCAUAAAGACUGGCAGAGAAAUAGCUCACAUGAGGGACCCUGGACCCUGUGUUCUUCAUCUGCAUCCACAGAGCAAUGCAUCCACCUCUCUAAUGGGAAACAAAUUUGGGAGUAGGGGAAAAAAGCCAACACAGAGGCAAGCUGAUGUUUGGGAGGAGAUGGCUUUGUUUUCAUUUGCCAAAGGAGCAAUCUUCCAGCUGCUGUGCACUUAAUGGCUUCCCAGGGCCAUUUGUUAACCUGCCAAGUCCAACCCAGAGCAACGAUUCCAGCCGUAUGCCAGGAUGUCUCUUUUUACCCCAAUAAACUUCCUGUUCCUUGCAGCCCAGCUGAUGGCUCUGCCCUACGGUGCAGAUGAGGGGAUCUCAAAACAAUGAAUCCCUGUCAAAAGAUUUGUGAGCAGCUGGCCAAACAAUUCCAGCCCCAGAAAGACACAGGCGAGAACAUCAUUCCUGAAUGCGCUGCAUUAUUGAUUAAGCACUUGUGAUCCAUAAAGUACAGUAACAACGUGGGGCUGGCUGCAAAUGAAUUCUACUGAAAAGAUCUUUUUACUGCCUCUGAUCCUCAAGGACAAGGGUAAAAUAAGUUUAGUAUGGAGCAGGAAUUCAUUUGUAUAAUAAUGGUUUUUGACGACUUGCAAAGGUUAUUUUAUGAUUAGCCAUCUAAUUAUAAAAUGGCCAACAAUUUCAUCUUAUCCAAAUCUACAUCAGCUAAAUUAUGAAAUGCCCUUGUUUUAUGCAAAUUCUGAAAAUAUUGCUUCUCUAACCUUUCAACCCCGCUGUCUGUCAAUAAGGCUCACGUGGAGCAUAAAUCUUAGGGUAGCACCGGAGCACAAUUCAGCUGCAAGUAAAUGGCAGUGAAUUAAUUGUGCAGGAUCCCUGGAAGGCAGGAGGCUGUCUGGUUCUGGAGUAGGCUUCCUUAGUCAGCCCAGAGGCUGGGUGUGAGGUGGCCUGUAUGACAGCUGGUCCCUAUAUGACAGGACUGGCUGGGGCUGAGCAAGCUCCUGAGGAGCAUUGGGUGAGAACAGGGGGUGCACAGCAGGAGCUAAGAGCUGAUGUGGAUACCCCAGAGGGAUCCAGAAGGGACACACGGAGCCAGGGGUGGCUGUGGGACAGCUGCUGUGGACUCAGGCUGAGGCAGGGAACAGGUCCUCUGCUUUGGAGGGAGGGAGGAGUGGCAGAGAGGAAAGGCUGGAAAAGGGGGAGGAAAGGAGGAUUAUAAAGAUUAGCUCCAAUUAGAUACAUGUACAACCAUCAGAUCCUGUUAAACACCCCUGGUUUAAAUUCAAACCCUAUUAUAUGGCUGCGGCUUCCAGACAAAGCCCUAUUAAAUGGAGCUGCUUUGAAAUCCAGACACAGCCACUACAAAGACUAUUAAACCCCUGCAGGCUGAAGACCAGGCCCUGCUAUGCUCCCUUCACCUGAUGGGACAGGGCCAGGCAGCAAUGGGUGCCUGUGGGCAUGGGGAUACCGGUGGGCUCCGAUCCCUCCAGAAUGACCUGAAGUAGGCAGGGAGCUGAGAUGCAGUGACCCAUCCCUGGGGGGGUCUUCUGAAGGAUGGGAGCUGGGGUGGGCUCUGGGCAGGGCUUUAGGGGACUUCCAGUGAUGCUGUCUGCAGGACAGGUUCAGCACCAACCUUCCCUUCCUGCUGGCUGUUAUACCCAUCAGGCUCCAUCCUUUUCCUGCGCUUGCUGUGGUGUUGCACAGCAGUGUGAGGAGCAACGAGGGCUGCUUCCAACCAGCCCUGGGUUCACUAAGAGCCCCUAAGAUGCUCUUGUGAGCACUGCUGGCAUCACCACCACUUGUUUCCCAGGGAUUUAUUUGAUGUGGAGCCUCGGUAGCAUCAGAUAACUUUUAAUUAGCACUGGGUGCUUUCUUCUUUAACAGAGCAAAGCGAUUUUGCCGUUUGAAUUUUUGCAUGUGAAAUAUUAACUUGAUAUAUAUUUAAUUUUUUUGUAUUGAAUACUAUACAGUGGUGUCUUAUUAAUAUUAAAACUUUAACACAAUGUAAAUGUCAGCACGAGUCAUAAUGAUAAAACCUAAAUGAAAUGUAUUUGCUUUGCUGCUUCACUUACGAUAGCAAAAGAUUUCCCAGUCAAAACAGACUUUUUUUUCCCUUUUCAGUGGAAGCACAGCUUCUUUGUUUCACCAAAAACCAUUCCAUCAGAGGGUUUCUCCCCACUGCCAAGUGCCACGAUGCACACCUGGGGCAUCACUGUGCUAGGCUGGGACCUGCAGGGCUCGCUGUUGUCUUCCAGUUCCUGCUCCUGCUCUACUCUUCCCUGUUCCCUGUGGGAAUGCUGAGUUGAAGGAUGGAGCACGGGGUGCUGGCGUGGCACUGCCUUCCCUAUCAGAGCUGGAGAUGAAGCCGGGAUGUGCGGCACAUGGGACAUACAGCAGGUCUCAGUGUGGGGCAACAAGUCAGUCCUGUGCUGUCAGCUGGUGUCACCAUGAGGAUGUGAUGGGAGAAGGGUUGGACCUGCAGGACCCUGUGCUGCAUGCACAGCCAUGGUGGUUGUCCUUAUCACCGGUCAGUGCAAAUCACUGCAAGACGAUUUCACUGGGUAUCAUCUUGUCCUUGUGCUGCUGCUGCAAAAGAAAGCAGUUGCAAUGGAGUCUGCUUCUCACUUGCUUAGUGCUAAUUUCUCUUUUUUUUUCCCCCUCUACUUCCUGUUCAUUGGUGGUGGGUUGCUGGGGGAGGGCAUCUGCACCAGUAGGAGAUUCAGAGUCUGUAACAGGAGGGAUGGUAUCUGAGUUCUUGUACUUUAGAAGGCUGCAGUAAUCCCCAGCUCAUUACAGCUGGGCUGGUGCAGUGGGAAAUUGGGACAGAUGUUGGACAGAUGGUGACCCUCUGCUGUUGGGAUCACUGCUGCUGGUUGGUAUAAAGCAGUGUUGUGGGGUUUUUUUUUUUUUUUUAAUAUUAGAGUAGGCUGUGAUGCUUCUUUACCAGGGUGGAGAGGCAUCACAUCUGCCAUUCUUUGUUAACAAUACUGUGAUUUGAUCACCCUGGCAGUCUGGUCAUCAGUCCCAUAAACCAAUACUAAUAGCAACACUGGUGCUGUGCCCCACAGAGGGCUUUGGGUUGGCCCUGGGGCCUGUGACCACUGACCGGGUUUUGCUGAUGGGUGACAAAGCCCCUGCCUGGCAGCAAGGGGCUGUGUGAGGAUGCUACUGUCCUGCUCAACUGCAGCGAAACAGGACUGGCUCAGAGAUGGGAGGCUUUAUCUCAAGUGAGAAAGCAUCCUGGAGUGAUGAAGGACCGGUGGGUUUUGGGGAGUUCAUUGUUUUAAUGGCAG